GACGAACGCUGGCGGCGUGCUUAACACAUGCAAGUCGAGCGGUAAGGCCCUUCGGGGGUACACGAGCGGCGAACGGGUGAGUAACACGUGGGUGACCUGCCCGUUAGCUCUGGGAUAAGCCUGGGAAACUGGGUCUAAUACCGGAUAUGACUCCAUGACGCAUGUUGUGGGGUGGAAAGCCGUUGUGCGGCUAGGGAUGGGCCCGCGGCCUAUCAGCUUG
rnacentral:rRNA from 1 species